rnacentral:rRNA from 1 species
UACGAAGGGGGCUAGCGUUGCUCGGAUUGACUGGGCGUAAAGGGCGCGUAGGCGGUUCGUACAGUCAGACGUGAAAUUCCUGGGCUCAACCUGGGGGCUGCGUUUGAUACGUGCGGACUUGAGUGCGGAAGAGGGUCGUGGAAUUCCCAGUGUAGAGGUGAAAUUCGUAGAUAUUGGGAAAGAACACCGGGUGGCGAAGGCGGCGACCUGGUCCGAUACUGACGCUGAGGCGCGAAAGCGUGGGGAGCAAACAGG